UCUGCUUAUGCUUGCUAUUUUUUGAAUUACUGGAAUUGUUGGGUGUUUGGAAAUUAUAGAGUGCGGUCUAGACCUACUCUAUCUGUAAAGUCUGUAUAU